rnacentral:tRNA from 1 species
GCCUGGCUGGCCUAGUGGGUAGAGCAGGUGACUCCUGAUCUCAGGGUUGUGAGUUCAAGCCCCCAUGUUGGGCA